CCUAGUGACGCUAGCGGCAGGCCUAAUACAUGCAAGUCGGACGGGAUUGGAGAGCUUGCUUUUCAUGAGAGUGGCGCACGGGUGCGUAACACGUAUGUAACCUACCUUCACCAGGGGGAUAGCCUCUCGAAAGAGAGAUUAAGACCGCAUAACAUUAUAGGAUAGCAUUAUUUUAUAAUCAAAUAUUUAUAGGGUGAAGAUGGGCAUGCGGAACAUUAGCUAGUUGGUAAGGUAACGGCUUACCAAGGCUACGAUGUUUAGGGGAUCUGAGAGGAUGACCCCCCACACUGGUACUGAGACACGGACCAGACUCCUACGGGAGGCAGCAGUAAGGAAUAUUGGUCAAUGGGCGGAAGCCUGAACCAGCCAUGCCGCGUGCAGGAAGACGGCCCUACGGGUUGUAAACUGCUUUUAUACGGGAAUAAACCUAUCUACGUGUAGAUAGCUGAAUGUACUGUAAGAAUAAGGAUCGGCUAACUCCGUGCCAGCAGCCGCGGUAAUACGGAGGAUCCAAGCGUUAUCCGGAUUUAUUGGGUUUAAAGGGUGCGUAGGUGGCCUGUUAAGUCAGGGGUGAAAGACGGUAGCUCAACUAUCGCAGUGCCUUUGAUACUGACGGGCUUGAAUGAACUAGAGGUAGGCGGAAUGUGACAAGUAGCGGUGAAAUGCAUAGAUAUGUCACAGAACACCAAUUGCGAAGGCAGCUUACUAUGGUUUUAUUGACACUGAGGCACGAAAGCGUGGGGAUCAAACAGGAUUAGAUACCCUGGUAGUCCACGCCCUAAACGAUGAAUACUCGAUGUUGGCGAUAUACGGUCAGCGUCUAAGCGAAAGCGUUAAGUAUCCACCUG
rnacentral:rRNA from 1 species